GAGCCCAUGGCCCAAUGAUAGAGCGUUAGUUUCAAAUACCAAAGGUCGCGGGUUCGAAUCCCACGUGUUUCA
rnacentral:tRNA from 1 species